UACGGAGGGGACUAGCGUUGUUCGGAAUUACUGGGCGUAAAGCGCACGUAGGCGGAUUGUUUAGUCAGGGGUGAAAUCCCGAGGCUCAACCUCGGAACUGCCUUUGAUACUGGCAAUCUCGAGUCCGGAAGAGGUGAGUGGAAUUCCUAGUGUAGAGGUGAAAUUCGUAGAUAUUAGGAAGAACACCAGUGGCGAAGGCGGCUCACUGGUCCGGUACUGACGCUGAGACGCGAAAGCGUGGGGAGCGAACAGG
rnacentral:rRNA from 1 species